UAGAGUUUGAUCAUGGCUCAGGAUGACCCUUAUAGGAAGGCUUAAUACAUGCAAGUCGAGCGGNAGGUGGCUUCUGCCAUUGAGAGCGGCGCACGGGUGAGUAACGCGUACAUGACCUGCCUGUCAGAAGGGGAUAGCCCUGGGAAACUGGGAUUAAUACCCUAUGGUAUUGAUAUUAUGAAUGAUAUCAAUUAAAGUUGAGGCGCUGACAGAUGGAUGUGCGUCUGAUUAGCUAGUUGGUAGGGUAACGGCCUACCAAGGCGACGAUCAGUAGGGGGCGUGAGAGCGUGGUCCCCCACACGGGUACUGAGACACGGACCCGACUCCUACGGGAGGCAGCAGUAAGGAAUAUUUGGUCAAUGCCCGCAAGGGUGAACCAGCCAUCCCGCGU
rnacentral:rRNA from 1 species